CUUGGGGAUUUUCCGCAAUGGGCGAAAGCCUGACGGAGCAACGCCGCGUGAGGGAUGAAGGCCUCUGGGCUGUAAACCUCUUUUAUCAAGGAAGAAAAUCUGACGGUACUUGAUGAAUAAGCCACGGCUAAUUCCGUGCCAGCAGCCGCGGUAAUACGGGAGUGGCAAGCGUUAUCCGGAAUUAUUGGGCGUAAAGCGUCCGCAGGCGGCCCAGAAAGUCUGCUGUUAAAAAGUGGAGCUUAACUCCAUCAUGGCAGUGGAAACUUCUGGGCUAGAGUGUGGUAGGGGCAGAGGGAAUUCCCGGUGUAGCGGUGAAAUGCGUAGAUAUCGGGAAGAACACCAGUGGCGAAGGCGCUCUGCUGGGCCAUAACUGACGCUCAUGGACGAAAGCCAGGGGAGCGAAAGGGAUUAGAUACCCCUGUAGUC
rnacentral:rRNA from 1 species